CGGAGAGUUUGAUCCUGGCUCAGGACGAACGCUGGCGGCGUGCCUAAUACAUGCAAGUCGAGCGGACAGAUGGGAGCUUGCUCCCUGAUGUUAGCGGCGGACGGGUGAGUAACACGUGGGUAACCUGCCUGUAAGACUGGGAUAACUCCGGGAAACCGGGGCUAAUACCGGAUGGUUGUUUGAACCGCAUGGUUCAAACAUAAAAGGUGGCUUCGGCUACCACUUACAGAUGGACCCGCGGCGCAUUAGCUAGUUGGUGAGGUAACGGCUCACCAAGGCAACGAUGCGUAGCCGACCUGAGAGGGUG
rnacentral:rRNA from 1 species